rnacentral:rRNA from 1 species
AGUGAACGCUGGCGGUAGGCCUAACACAUGCAAGUCGAACGGCAGCACAGGAGAGCUUGCUCUCUGGGUGGCGAGUGGCGGACGGGUGAGGAAUACAUCGGAAUUUACUUUUUCGUGGGGGAUAACGUAGGGAAACUUACGCUAAUACCGCAUACGACCUACGGGUGAAAGCAGGGGACCUUCGGGCCUUGCGCGAUUGAAUGAGCCGAUGUCGGAUUAGCUAGUUGGCGGGGUAAAGGCCCACCAAGGCGACGAUCCGUAGCUGGUCUGAGAGGCUGAUCAGCCACACUGGAACUGAGACACGGUCCAGACUCCUACGGGAGGCAGCAGUGGGGAAUAUUGGACAAUGGGCGCAAGCCUGAUCCAGCCAUACCGCGUGGGUGAAGAAGGCCUUCGGGUUGUAAAGCCCUUUUGUUGGGAAAGAAACCCAGCUGGCUAAUACCCGGUUGGGAUGACGGUACCCAAAGAAUAAGCACCGGCUAACUACGUGCCAGCCGCCGCCGUAA